UACGAAGGGUGCAAACGUUGCUCGGAAUUAUUGGGCGUAAAGCGCACGUAGGCGGCUUGGCGAGUCGGAUGUGAAAUCCCUCGGCUCAACCAAGGAAGUGCAUCCGAAACUGCUGAGCUUGAGUACUUAAGAGGAUCGCGGAAUUCCCGGUGUAGAGGUGAAAUUCGUAGAUAUCGGGAGGAACACCAGUGGCGAAGGCGGCUCACUGGCCCGGUACUGACGCUGAGGUGCGAAAGCGUGGGGAGCAAACAGG
rnacentral:rRNA from 1 species